rnacentral:rRNA from 1 species
AAUAAUUGNCNUCGGAUCAGGUAGGGAUACCCGCUGAACUUAAGCAUAUCAAUAAGCGGAGGAAAAGAAACCAACAGGGAUUGCCUCAGUAACGGCGAGUGAAGCGGCAACAGCUCAAAUUUGAAGUCUGGCUCCUCUGGGGUNCGAGUUGUAAUUUGUAGAAGAUGUUUCGGGGGCGGUGCCGGUUUAAGUCCCUUGGAACAGGGCGUCAUAGAGGGUGAGAAUCCCGUAUGUGACCGGUGGCCAACCCCAUGUGAAACUCUUUCGACGAGUCGAGUUGUUUGGGAAUGCAGCUCAAAACGGGUGGUAAAUUUCAUCUAAAGCUAAAUACCGGCCAGAGACCGAUAGCGCACAAGUAGAGUGAUCGAAAGAUGAAAAGCACUUUGGAAAGAGAGUUAGACAGUACGUGAAAUUGUUGAAAGGGAAGCGCUCGCCACCAGACCUGCCCUCGGACGAUCAGCGGUAGUUCUACUGCCGUGCACUCGUUCGUGAUCAGGCCAGCAUCGGUUUCGGCGGCCGGAUAAAGAUCCUUGGAAUGCGGCUCCCCUCGGGGAGUGCUAUAGCCUUGGGUGUAAUACGGCCAGCUGGGACCGAGGACCGCGCUUCGGCUAGGAUGCUGGCGUAAUGGUGGUGAGCGACC